rnacentral:misc_RNA from 1 species
AACCUAGCACACCUGCGGUGUGUACCUGCGGAGGGAUCAUUACAAGUGACCCCGGUCUAACCACCGGGAUGUUCAUAACCCUUUGUUGUCCGACUCUGUUGCCUCCGGGGCGACCCUGCCUUCGGGCGGGGGCUCCGGGUGGACACUUCAAACUCUUGCGUAACUUUGCAGUCUGAGUAAACUUAAUUAAUAAAUUAAAACUUUUAACAAUGGAUCU